rnacentral:rRNA from 1 species
AACGAACGCUGGCGGCAGGCCUAACACAUGCAAGUCGAGCGAGGACUUCGGUCCUAGCGGCGGACGGGUGAGUAACGCGUGGGAACGUGCCCUUUGCUACGGAAUAGCCCCGGGAAACUGGGAGUAAUACCGUAUGUGCCCUUCGGGGGAAAGAUUUAUCGGCAAAGGAUCGGCCCGCGUUGGAUUAGGUAGUUGGUGGGGGAAUGGCCUACCAAGCCGACGAUCCAUAGCUGGUUUGAGAGGAUGAUCAGCCACACUGGGACUGAGACACGGCCCAGACUCCUACGGGAGGCAGCAGUGGGGAAUCUUAGACAAUGGGGGAAACCCUGAUCUAGCCAUGCCGCGUGAGCGAUGAAGGCCUUAGGGUUGUAAAGCUCUUUCAGUGGGGAAGAUAAUGACGGUACCCACAGAAGAAGCCCCGGCUAUCUCCGUGCCAGCAGCCGCCGUAAGAC